rnacentral:rRNA from 1 species
GACGAACGCUGGCGGCGUGCCUAAUACAUGCAAGUUGAGCGCUGAAGGUUGGUACUUGUACCAACUGGAUGAGCAGCGAACGGGUGAGUAACGCGUGGGGAAUCUGCCUUUGAGCGGGGGACAACAUUUGGAAACGAAUGCUAAUACCGCAUAAAAACUUUAAACACAAGUUUUAAGUUUGAAAGAUGCAAUUGCAUCACUCAAAGAUGAUCCCGCGUUGUAUUAGCUAGUUGGUGAGGUAAAGGCUCACCAAGGCGAUGAUACAUAGCCGACCUGAGAGGGUGAUCGGCCACAUUGGGACUGAGACACGGCCCAAACCCCUACGGGAGGCAGCAGUAGGGAAUCUUCGGCAAUGGACGAAAGUCUGACCGAGCAACGCCGCGGGAGUGAAGAAGGGUUUCGGAUCGUAAAACUCUGUUGGUAGAGAAGAACGUUGGUGAGAGUGGAAAGCUCAUCAAGUGACGGUAACUACCCAGAAAGGGACGGCUAACUACGUG